AUUGAACGCUGGCGGCAGGCCUAACACAUUCAAGUCGAGCUAGCGGCGGACGGGUGAGUAAUGUAUGGGUACUGCCCGAUAGAGGGGGAUAACUACUGGAAACGGUGGCUCAUACCGCAUACUAUCGUAUCACCCAUAUGGGAUUAGCUAGUAGGUGGGGUAAAGGUUCACCUAGGCGACGAUCUCUAGCUGGUCUGAGAGGAUGAUCAGCGACAGUGGGAUUGAGACACGGAGAAGACUACAACGGAGGAAGGAGUGGGGAAUAUUGAACAAUGGGAGAAAGCAAGAUGCAGCCAAGCCGGGUGGAUGAAGAGGGCCUUAGGGUUGUAAAGUACGUUAAGCGGGGAGGCGUUACCCGCAGAAGAAGCAGGGGAUAACUCCGUGCCAGCAGCCGCGGUAAUAC
rnacentral:rRNA from 1 species